AGUAAAACAGUACGUGAAAUUGUUGAAAGGGAAACGAUUGAAGUCAGUCAUGCCGGCGUUGGAUUCAGCUUGCUUCGCGGAGCUUGCGCAUUUCCUCGCAUGGCAGGUCAGCGUCAGUUUUGCGCGGCGUGAAAAGGCUCGGGUAAGGUAGCUCUCUUCGGGGAGUGUUAUAGACCUGGGCAAAUGCGCGGCGCGGGACUGAGGAUUGCAGCGGACACCUCUUCGGAGGCGCGGCGACCGAACCCUGCUCGGCCACCCUCGUUCGAUAGCGUGCUAGCGGACGCGGGAGCGGCAGUGCACCGGAACAGGCAAGCCAGCGGUUCGCUUAGGAUGCUGACGUAAUGGCUUUAAA
rnacentral:misc_RNA from 1 species